AGCCCACAAAUCACGAUCAAAAGUUCUGGUCCAGAAAAUCAGCACAGUAUGCUAGUACUGCGCUGAUCCUUCUUCGAUGGUCGAUUAGAUACCUCCAUCUUCUUAAUUAGGACUCUUCCAAUGAUGAGAAGAAGGAGAAAGAGUUUUAGAUCUGAGACACUCUCAGAAAACUCAAGAUAAAGGAAGGAAAGAGGUGAACACAGCAACCCUAGAAGAAGACCC
rnacentral:lncRNA from 1 species